rnacentral:tRNA from 1 species
CAGUAGCUCAGUUGGAUAGAGCAACGGCCUUCUAAGCCGUGGGUCGGGGGUUCGAAUCCCUCCUGUCG